UAACAGCUCACUGGUCGAGUGGACAUGCGCCGACAAUACACGGGGCUAAGCUGGACACCGAAGCGGCGGGAUUUUAAUUCAUUAGAAUCGGUAGGGGAGCUUCCCAUGGGCGGAGAAGCCGGAGGGCGACCGACGGUGGAGCGCAUGGGAGUGAGAAUGCUGGCAUGAGUAGCGAGAGACGAGAGAGUAACUCGUCCGCCGUGAACCCGAGGUUUCCUGGGCAAGGCUAAUCCUCCCAGGGUCAGUCGGGGGCUAAGGCGAGGCCGGGAGGCGUAGCCGACGCGCAGCAGGCAGACAUUCCUGCACCGCGCACGCGGCGCUACGACCGACGGGGCGACGGAUGGGGGUGGCUCGGCGGGGUUCUGGACGUCCCCGUGAUGGAGCGCGGCCCGCGGACCAGGGAAAUCCGGUCCGCAUCAAGGGCGAGGCUCCGGACGAAGCGAUUGAGCGAAGCGAGUGAGCCCGAGGUCCCUAGAAAAACCCCUAGGCAGGCGCGUGCGCGCCCGUACCGCAAACCGACACAGGUGGGUGGGUAGAACAUACCGAGGCGAUCGGGUCAACCAUGGUCAAGGAACUCGGCACAAUGGCCCCGUAACUUCGGGAGAAGGGGUGCCCGCGCGUACGUGAACCGGCUUGCCCGGGGAGCGGAGGCGGGCCGCAGUGGAGAGGCCCAAGCGACUGUUUACCAAAAACACAGGACUCUGCAGAAGCCGCAAGGCGACGUAUAGGGUCUGACGCCUGCCCGGUGCCGGAAGGUCACGCGGAGGAGUUAGCCGAUUCGGCGAAGCCCCGAAGCCAAGCCCCGGUAAACGGCGGCCGUAACUAUAACGGUCCUAAGGUAGCGAAAUUCCUUGUCGGGUAAGUUCCGACCUGCACGAAAGGCGCAACGACUUGGGCGCUGUCUCGACCAUGGACCCGGUGAAAUUGCACUGGUCGUGAAGAUGCGACUUACCCGCGGAAGGACGGAAAGACCCCGUGAACCUUCACUGCAGCUUGGCAUUGGCCGCUGGUCCCGCGUGUAGAGGAUAGGCAGGAGGCAUCGAUCCGGAGGCGCCAGCCCCCGGGGAGCCGCCCUUGGAAUACUGCCCUCGCGCGACCGGCGUCCUAACCCGAGGCCGUCAACCGGCUCGGGGACCGUGCCAGGCGGGCAGUUUGACUGGGGCGGUCGCCUCCUAAAGGGUAACGGAGGCGCGCGAAGGUCCGCUCGGGACGGUCGGCAACCGUCCUUUUGAAUGCAAGAGUACAAGCGGGCUUGACUGCGAGGCCCACAAGCCGAGCAGGUGCGAAAGCAGGCUCUAGUGAUCCGGCGGCCCCGAGUGGGUGGGCCGUCGCUCAACGGAUAAAAGGUACUCCGGGGAUAACAGGCUGAUCUUGCCCAAGAGUCCACAUCGACGGCAAGGUUUGGCACCUCGAUGUCGGCUCAUCGCAUCCUGGGGCUGGAGCAGGUCCCAAGGGUACGGCUGUUCGCCGUUUAAAGCGGUACGCGAGCUGGGUUCAGAACGUCGUGAGACAGUUCGGUCCCUAUCCUCCGUGGGCGCAGGAGAAUCGAUGGAGGCUGCCCCCAGUACGAGAGGACCGGGGUGGACGCACCUCCGGUGAACCGGUUGUCGACCAACGGCACGGCCGGGUAGCCGCGUGCGGCGCGGAUAACCGCUGAAGGCAUCUAAGCGGGAAGCCGUUCCAGGGAUUAGUUCUCCUUCCGGUAAGGGCCCAGGUAGACUACCUGGUCGAUAGACGGCAGGUGCAAGGACGGCGACGUCCUCAGCCGAGCCGCACUAAUCGCCCGAGCUCUUCCGGA
rnacentral:rRNA from 1 species